rnacentral:lncRNA from 1 species
CUCCCAACUCCACUCGCUCUCUCCCCAUAUCUUUGUGAACCCGGAUAGAAGACGAGUUGGGAGCGGGGUGGUGGCGAACUCGUGGGCAGGGAGGACCGAGCACGAAGGCGCUCGGGAUUUCAUCGGCAGUAGCAGGUUCCUCUUUAGGUGUCGCCCGGGCACCCAGAUUGCGGCGCGGCGGCACCAUGGCAGGCCAGCGACGACCUAAAGGGGGAGCGGCACCAACCUAUGGUAAGUUGGCCCGGACCUCUAUCGCUCUAGUGAAUGAGAUGUAUUGCAGUCAUCUUGGGGCCGUAGUAGGGGCAGGAAAAUGAUUUCGUGGAUACACUCUAGUUUUGUGCUUAAUGUUAGAAUUCAUUUUCGAUAUUUAGGGUCCAGCGAUGAAGAAGAGUUUUCAGUUGAAGUGCAUCAUGGGGGUUCUCAACGGGCCCAUGGUUCUCAAUCCCAACUGGUCAGGGUUCUAGUACAUGAUGACAAGCAGCUCGAAGGAGCGACAGACACCAUGGCAGGCUUGUACUACGGUGAUGAGUACAUGCCUACGGUACUACUCGCUGCCCCAUGCUAGGAAGAGAGGUCACAUGGGCGGUGGUGGUGGUGUAGACGAGUAGUAUAUCCAGUGGCAAAGAAAAACGAGUAGGCCGUCGCGGGAGGACAGACGACCCCAAGCAGAUCAGUGUCGAAAUAAUGGAAAAUGUCAGACAAGGACAAAAAUUGGAUAUGUUAUGAUACAAAGACACAAAUCACAAAUCACAAAAAAUAACAAUUUACUUGAUUGUACAAGAGUGUUGUCUGAAAUUAUUUUAAAAUUCAGGAGUGGUCAAAUAUUCUACUACGUGUGGGUUUCCAUGCACAAAAACAUCAACUAAUUAUUAACAUUUGAGUGACAUGUCAUGAGAAAAGAAAUAAGCAAAUUAAUUCAGAAAGAUUUCAUACACUUCAGGAUAGAUACAAGGUUAAUCUCAUGCAAUAGUGGCUGUGAUAUACCAUUUAUGGGCUGGUCAUUGUCCCUACAGAGCACCAGGGCCUUCUUAGUACUAAGGUUGAGCUGGACCAGCCCAAUCCUCCACAUCCAGAAGAGCACGGUGCCACUUCUCUCCCCAAACGUACUAAACGAGAUUGGCUGGUAUGCAUCAAGAACAUAGGCGAG